rnacentral:rRNA from 1 species
UGGGGCGUGAGCGCGGUCAUCUGCAGUCGAGCGGACUUGAUGGAGUGCUUGCACUCCUGAUGGUUAGCGGCGGACGGGUGAGUAACACGUAGGCAACCUGCCCUCAAGACUGGGAUAACUACCGGAAACGGUAGCUAAUACCGGAUAAUUUAUUUUGCAGCAUUGUGGAAUAAUGAAAGGCGGAGCAAUCUGUCACUUGAGGAUGGGCCUGCGGCGCAUUAGCUAGUUGGUGGGGUAACGGCCCACCAAGGCGACGAUGCGUAGCCGACCUGAGAGGGUGAACGGCCACACUGGGACUGAGACACGGCCCAGACUCCUACGGGAGGCAGCAGUAGGGAAUCUUCCGCAAUGGGCGAAAGCCUGACGGAGCAACGCCGCGUGAGUGAUGAAGGUUUUCGGAUCGUAAAGCUCUGUUGCCAAGGAAGAACGUCUUCUAGAGUAACUGCUAGGAGAGUGACGGUACUUGAGAAGAAAGCCCCGGCUAACUACGUGCCAGCAGCCGCGGUAAUACGUAGGGGGCAAGCGUUGUCCGGAAUUAUUGGGCGUAAAGCGCGCGCAGGCGGUUCUUUAAGUCUGGUGUUUAAACCCGGGGUUAAUUGGGGUCCCCGGAAAUUGGGAAUGAGGGGCGGAGGGGAGGGGGAUUUCCGGGUUGGGGGGAAAGGGUAGAAAUGGGAGAAACCCCAGGGGAGGGGGGUUUUUUGGGCUUAAUGGACGUGGGCGCGGGAAGGCGUGGGGCGCAACCAGGUUUGGAUACCUUGUUUGUCCACGCUGUAAAGGAAGAUUUAUAGGUGUAAGGGGUUUGGAUACCCUGGGUGCGGAGGUUAACCCAUUAGCCAUUCCCCUUGGGGAGUACGGUGCCAGGAUGGAAAUUCAAGGGAAUGGAGGGGGACCGCCCCAACCAGUGGGGUAGGGGGUUAAUUUGGAGGCAACGGGAGGACCCUUACCAGUUCUGGCCAUCCUUCGGAUUCUUCUGGGGAUGGAGGCGCCUUUGGGGCCGGAGGGGCCAGGGGGGCCAUGGUGGUGUUCAGUUCGGGUCGGGGGAGGUGGGGUUAGUUCCGGCACGGAGGGCACCCCUGGAUUUUGGUGCCCACCACUUAGGGUGGGCACUCUAGAAUGACUGCCGGUGACAAACCGGAGGAAGGCGGGGAUGACGUCAAAUCAUCAUGCCCCUUAUGACUUGGGCUACACACGUACUACAAUGGCUGGUACAACGGGAAGCGAAGCCGCGAGGUGGAGCCAAUCCUAUAAAAGCCAGUCUCAGUUCGGAUUGCAGGCUGCAACUCGCCUGCAUGAAGUCGGAAUUGCUAGUAAUCGCGGAUCAGCAUGCCGCGGUGAAUACGUUCCCGGGUCUUGUACACACCGCCCGUCACACCACGAGAGUUUACAACACCCGAAGUCGGUGGGGUAACCCGCAAGGAGCCGCCGCGAAGUGGUAUGCUUUUU